AUGAACGCUAGCGGCAGGCCUAACACAUGCAAGUCGAGGGAGAAGCCCUUUCGGGGGCAGAAACCGGCGCACGGGUGCGUAACGCGUAUGCAACCUACCUUUCACAGGGGGAUAGCCCGAAGAAAUUUGGAUUAAUACCCCAUAAUAUUAUUGGAUGGCAUCAUUUGAUAAUUAAAACUGCGGUGGUGAAAGAUGGGCAUGCGUCCUAUUAGCUAGUUGGAGUGGUAACGGCACCCCAAGGCUACGAUAGGUAGGGGUCCUGAGAGGGAGAUCCCCCACACUGGUACUGAGACAGGGACCAGACUCCUACGGGAGGCAGCAGUGAGGAAUAUUGGUCAAUGGUCGGAAGACUGAACCAGCCAUGCCGCGUGCAGGAAGAAUGCCUUAUGGGUUGUAAACUGCUUUUAUAUGGGAAGAAUAAGGCGUACGUGUACGUUGAUGACGGUACCAUAUGAAUAAGCAUCGGCUAACUCCGUG
rnacentral:rRNA from 1 species